rnacentral:rRNA from 1 species
AUUGAACGCUGGCGGCAUGCCUUACACAUGCAAGUCGAACGGCAGCGCGGACUUCGGUCUGGCGGCGAGUGGCGAACGGGUGAGUAAUACAUCGGAACGUACCCUGUUGUGGGGGAUAACUAGUCGAAAGAUUAGCUAAUACCGCAUACGACCUGAGGGUGAAAGUGGGGGACCGCAAGGCCUCACGCAGCAGGAGCGGCCGAUGUCUGAUUAGCUAGUUGGUGGGGUAAAGGCCCACCAAGGCGACGAUCGGUAGCUGGUCUGAGAGGACGAUCAGCCCCAAUGGGACUGAUACACGGCCCAGACUCCUACGGGAGGCAGCAGUGGGGAAUUUUGGACAAUGGGGGCAACCCUGAUCCAGCAAUGCCGAGUGUGUGAAGAAGGCCUUCGGGUUGUAGAGCACUUUUGUCCGGAGAGAAAUCGCGCUGGUUAAUACCUGGCGUGGAUGACGGUACCGGAAGAAUAAGCACCGGCUAACUACGUGCCAGCCGCCGCCGUAA